UAGGGAAUCUUCGGCAAUGGACGAAAGUCUGACCGAGCAACGCCGCGUGAGUGAAGAAGGUUUUCGGAUCGUAAAACUCUGUUGUUAGAGAAGAACAAGGACGUUAGUAACUGAACGUCCCCUGACGGUAUCUAACCAGAAAGCCACGGCUAACUACGUGCCAGCAGCCGCGGUAAUACGUAGGUGGCAAGCGUUGUCCGGAUUUAUUGGGCGUAAAGCGAGCGCAGGCGGUUUCUUAAGUCUGAUGUGAAAGCCCCCGGCUCAACCGGGGAGGGUCAUUGGAAACUGGGAGACUUGAGUGCAGAAGAGGGGAGUGGAAUUCCAUGGUUAGCGGUGAAAUGCGUAGAUAUAUGGAGGAACACCAGUGGCGAAGGCGGCUCUCUGGUCUGUAACUGACGCUGAGGCUCGAAAGCGUGGGGAGCAAACAGG
rnacentral:rRNA from 1 species